rnacentral:rRNA from 1 species
GAGUUUGAUCGUGGCUCAGAUUGAACGCUGGCGGCAUGCCUUACACAUGCAAGUCGAACGGCAGCACGGGAGCUUGCUCCUGGUGGCGAGUGGCGAACGGGUGAGUAAUGCAUCGGAACGUAUCCUGGAGUGGGGGAUAACGUAGCGGAAGUUACGCUAAUACCGCAUAUUCUGUGAGCAGGAAAGCGGGGGACCUUCGGGCCUCGCGCUCUUGGAGCGGCCGAUGUCGGAUUAGCUAGUUGGUGAGGUAAAGGCUCACCAAGGCGACGAUCCGUAGCAGGUCUGAGAGGAUGAUCUGCCACACUGGAACUGAGACACGGUCCAGACUCCUACGGGAGGCAGCAGUGGGGAAUUUUGGACAAUGGGGGCAACCCUGAUCCAGCCAUGCCGCGUGAGUGAAGAAGGCCUGG